rnacentral:lncRNA from 1 species
UUAUUCUGGAAAGAUAACUGUGAGAAAAUCCAUCAGUCUCUAAUUUCAACAGAAAACUAGAGAUAAGAAGGCUGAAGCUCUUGCUUUUUGGGGAUCUUGACCAUCAGAUGGAAACAUCUAGCACGUAUUUGGAGAAGGGCCCUUUCAUGGGCAGAGCAAGGAAGCACAAUCCAAACUUCAGGAAAGCGUGGCUAAGCAUAACACUCCUCCUCUUCCAGAUGAUCCCCACACCCGAGG